rnacentral:lncRNA from 1 species
UACGAGAUACGGCAAUAAAAAAUAUUAAGCGUAAGAAACACGGAAACACAUUUUCCGAACCUCUAAAACUUUUCAGUUUAUAUAUCUUUAUUGUUGGGGGUCGUAUGCUGUAUGAACUUUUACAUGCUAAUUUACAAAAUAUAUUACCAUCGAUUACAACUAUUAACCGAUGCAUAGAUAAAGAAAGUAAUAUAGUCGAUGGAACAGUUCAGUUGAAAGAAUUAAAGUUAUUCGUAAUAAAAUGAAACUAUCCGUUGAAUGUAUUUAUUUCAGAAGAUCAAACCGCAAUAAUUAAGAGCGUAGCAUACGAUUCUAAAAGUAACAGAAUGAUUGGUUUUGUAUCUGCAUGUAGCAAAGAUAAUGGAUUUCCUAAAAAUAAUUUUUAUGUAAAUUCCGUAUAAGAUAUUGAAAAUGCUUUUUCUAAAUAUGUUAUUGGUUGCAAUGCAUAUGUGUACAUGGCUCAACCGCUUGUUGAUAACGCACCAGGAUUUUGUCUAACAGUUUUUGCAAGCGAUAACAAAUUCAAUCACAAUGAUGUCUUAGCUAGAUGGACAUUUUAAAAAAAUAAACUUGAAAGACUCAAUAUUCAAAUAACUGGAUUUUCAAGUGAUGGUGAUACAAGAUGCUUAAAAACCAUGAGAAUAUGGUCCAAAAUUCCUUUAUCAUCUAAAAAUCCAUAUUCUCCUUACUUUCAGAUGGAAUUUGAUAUAAAAAACCAGUAUGUAUUCAAGAUACAGUUCACAUUGGAACAAAAUUAAAAACAAGAUUUUUGAAACUCAAUGUACUUUUACCGAUGGGUUCACAGAUUGUUUCUCCAGAACAUGUAAAAAAAUUAAUGAAGCAGUUCUCUAAAGACAAACAUUUAUUAUGUGACAGUGAUCUUGAACGUAUGUUUAGUUUAAUUAAUAUCUGAAGUAUUAUACAUCUGAAGUAUUGCAUAAUUUUUAAAUGAAAUAAAUACUGAUUUAAAAGGUACAUUUCGAUUUCCACAAGAAGAAAAUAAUCGCUUAGGAAUUUCUUCGGAUACAAUUUUAAAUUCUGAUAAAACUCCAUCUACAGAAAAAAUUUUAAAUAUUUUGAACACUGCUAAAAAUGAUGCAAUAAAUAUUGCAAGAGAAUUGGGAAUGAAUAUGAGUGAAGAAAAAAUAAAGGAAAGUUUCGAAAAGAUUAUAAUUCGAUGUUUUACUGAUGAAGAGGAAAAUGAAAAAAUAGAGAAAAAUGACGAUGACAACGAACGACAAAAUGAAGAUAUUGAAUCUACUGAAGAUUUUGAAGAUGAUUUCGAAAAUUUGCGAAAUGAUAUUUCAAUUUUUAAAAAUCAAACAGAUUUAAAUUUAAAAAUUAUACAACUAACUGCACAGAAAACAAUAAAGGUUUAUUUUUAAAUGUAAUUAUUAAUAAAAAAAAAUAUGUUGUAAGAAAAUCAUCGCUUUGUUGGUUAUAUCAAAAUAAAAGUAAAUUGUCUAGUGAUAGAUUGUAUCGAGUUUGUGGUAUGAAUGUUACAAAUACAAAUAGAAAAAUAACGAAAGAAUUGAAGAUAGAAUGCGAAAAAUAUUAUUGCGUUUAUUAUGAUACAGGAUGGUACAUAGGAAGAGUGUUACGUAUAGAAAAAAAUACAUGUAAAAUUAAAUUUUUAUCUGCUAAUUUAAAUGAGUUUAGAUGGCCAAAGAAGGAUGACAUUCAAGAAGUAGAUAAAGAAUUUAUAAUGUAUGGGCCGAUAUAUCUUUAAAUGGGAUAAAUCCUUUUACAAUUAGUAAAGAAAUACGUUCAAAUAUC